UACGAAGGGUGCAAGCGUUACUCGGAAUCACUGGGCGUAAAGCGUGCGUAGGCGGUUCGUUAAGUCUGCUGUGAAAGCUCAGGGCUUAACCCUGAGCUUGCAGUGGGUACGGGCAGACUAGAGUGCGGUAGGGGAGACUGGAAUUCCCGGUGUAGCGGUGAAAUGCGCAGAUAUCGGGAAGAACACCCGUGGCGAAGGCGGCUCUCUGGGACGGUACUGACGCUGAGACGCGAAAGCGUGGGGAGCGAACAGG
rnacentral:rRNA from 1 species